UACUUUGAGGUUGAAUAAAAAUUUUUAGUUUAUAGUUAAGUUGUUUGAUUUAAAAAUAUUAUAAGUAAUAGCAAGUGAAAUUGAUUAUUAUAUUGUAUGAAAAAUAAAUCUGAGCUGAAGCUGAGAAGAUUUAAUAAAAGACUAGGAUUAGAUACCCUAUUAUUAAAAAAUAAAGUUAUAAAAACUUAAUUAGUAAGAGAUAAGUACUUAAAAUUUAAAAAAUUUGGCGGUAAUUUAAUCUUUUCAGAGGAACCUGUUUUUGAAUCGAUAAUCCACGAAGAAUCUUACUUGUCUUUGUUUAUAUUUCAGUUUGUAUACCAUCAUUACAAAUAAUUUUUAGAGAAAUAAAUUAUUAAGCGUAAAUAUAUUAUAAAAAUUAGAUCAUGGUGCAGUCUAUAGAUAAGGUAAAAUGGGUUACAAUAAAUUAUUUUAUACGGAUUAGUAAAAAGAAUUUAUGCUAUGAAGGAGGAUUUGAUUGUAUUUAGGGUUUAAUAAGCUUUAAAGAUAUAAGCUCUAAAUUAUGUACAUAUCGCCCGUCGCUUUCGUCUAUAAGCGAAAUAAGUCGUAACAUA
rnacentral:rRNA from 1 species